rnacentral:rRNA from 1 species
CGCCUCUUGAUAAAGUGUAAGAGGUCCAGCCUGCCCAGUGACUCUGUUCAACGGCCGCGGUAUCCUAACCGUGCGAAGGUAGCGUAAUCACUUGUUCUUUAAAUAAGGACUAGUAUGAACGGCACCACGAGGGUUAUACUGUCUCCUUUCUCCCAUCAGUGAAACUAAUCUCCCCGUGAAGAAGCGGGGAUUAAUAUAUAAGACGAGAAGACCCUAUGGAGCUUUAAACCACGUAACAACUGCUUGACCCCUCCUCCCUCCUGAGUGCCCACAUUUACUAUAGCCUUAUGAUUACUCGUUUUAGGUUGGGGUGACCGCGGAGUAAAAAUUAACCUCCACUUUGUAAGGAACAUGUUCCUGCGCCAUGAGAAACACCUCUAAGCACCAACCAAUUGACAUUAAUUGAUCCAUUUUUUGACCAACGAACCAAGUUACCCUAGGGAUAACAGCGCAAUUUGUCUCAAGAGCUCCUAUCGACAGAUAAGUUUACGACCUCGAUGUUGGAUCAGGGUAUCCAAGUGGUGCAGCCGCUACUAUAGGUUCGUUUGUUCAACGAUUAAAACCCU